rnacentral:rRNA from 1 species
UCCUACGGGAGGCAGCAGUGGGGAAUCUUAGACAAUGGGGGCAACCCUGAUCUAGCCAUGCCGCGUGAGUGAUGAAGGCCUUAGGGUCGUAAAGCUCUUUCGCCUGUGAUGAUAAUGACAGUAGCAGGUAAAGAAACCCCGGCUAACUCCGUGCCAGCAGCCGCGGUAAUACGGAGGGGGUUAGCGUUGUUCGGAAUUACUGGGCGUAAAGCGCGCGUAGGCGGAUUAGAAAGUUGGGGGUGAAAUCCCGGGGCUCAACCCCGGAACUGCCUCCAAAACUGCUAGUCUAGAGUUCGAGAGAGGUGAGUGGAAUUCCGAGUGUAGAGGUGAAAUUCGUAGAUAUUCGGAGGAACACCAGUGGCGAAGGCGGCUCACUGGCUCGAUACUGACGCUGAGGUGCGAAAGUGUGGGGAGCAAACAGGAUUAGAUACCCUGGUAGUCCACACCGUAAACGAUGAAUGCCAGUCGUCGGGUAGUAUACUAUUCGGUGACACACCUAACGGAUUAAGCAUUCCGCCUGG